GACGAACGCUGGCGGCGUGCUUAACACAUGCAAGUCGAACGGAAAGGCCCUGCUUUUGUGGGGUGCUCGAGUGGCGAACGGGUGAGUAACACGUGAGUAACCUGCCCUUGACUUAGGGAUAACUUCAGGAAACUGGGGCUAAUACCGGAUAGGAGCUCCUGCUGCAUGGUGGGGGUUGGAAAGUUUCGGCGGUUGGGGAUGGACUCGCGGCUUAUCAGCUUGUUUGUGGGGUAGUGGCUUACCAAGGCUUUGACGGGUAGCCGGCCUGAGAGGGUGACCGGGGACAUUGGGACUGAGAGACGGACCAGACUCCUACGGGAGGCAGCAGUGGGGAAUAUUGCACAAUGGGCGGAAGCCUGAUGCAGCAACGCCGCGUGCGGGAUGACGGCCUUCGGGUUGUAAACCGCUUUCGCCUGUGACGAAGCGUGAGUGACGGUAAUGGGUAAAGAAGCACCGGCUAACUACGUG
rnacentral:rRNA from 1 species